rnacentral:siRNA from 1 species
UACACUACUCGGAUCCGUGGAGA